UUUGAGAUAUGUUCCCUCUAUACCCACUUUGGUAAGAGUUUUUAUCAUGAAUCGAUAAUGAAUUUCAUCAAAUGCUUUUUCUGCAUCUACUGAGAUGAUCAUAUGGUUUUUAUCUUUUCUUUUGUUGAUGUGGUGUAUCAUACUAAUUGAUCUGCAUAUGGUAAAACUUUUGUGACACUGGGAGGAAUCCAAAUUGACUGUGGUGUAUGAUCCUUUUUAUAUGUUGUUAGAUUCAGUUCACUAAUAUUUUGUUGGGAAUUUUUAUAUCUAUAUUCAUCAAACAUAUUAGACUAUAAUUUCCCUUUUUGGUAGUGUCUUUGGUUUUGGUAUCAGGAUGAUGGUGGCUUCAUAAAAUGUUUUGGGACUGUUCCCUCCUCUUAAAUCUUUUGGAAAAGUUUGAGAACGAUUGUUUAAGGUUUUCUUUUAUGUUUGGUAGAAUUCUCCAGUGAUGCCAUCUGGUCUUGGACUUUGGUUUGCAGGGAGGUGUUUUGGGUUUUGUUUUUAAUUUACAUAUUCUAUUUCACUUCUAGUGAUUUAUCUGUUCAAAUUAUCUAUUUCUUCUUGACUGAGUUUUGAUGGAUGUGUCCUUCUAGGAACUUGCUUUUUCUAAGGAAGCAUCUAUAAGCAUAAAUUAAGCAAGAUGAAUAUUUUAUAAUUGGAGACUACACUCAAGUUCAAGGUUCAACUGCCUAACUUUUUAUAGAAAUGACCAUAAUCACUGCAUUUAGACAUUUUCUGUACUAUGUAGCAUAAAAAUUUCCAAAGUUCAUAGAAGCCAAGGAGUCUAGUAACUAAUCUUGUUAUAUAUUAUUGUUAUAUCUUAUCAUAUAUUAUUUGACAUGACCCAGCACUAAUAUAACCUGAGUUCUACUGUUUUCUCAUCAAGCCUAGCACCAUAAAAUUCAAAAGGACUCUUCAGAAACAUUUUUACAGAUAGCAUCAAAGUGAUUUCAGGUCUCCUGAGAAUUUUAAGACUUUUCUUUCCUAGGCAUGUUUUACUUGCUUUUAAUUAUAGAUUCCCUUAUAGCAAACCAACUUUCUUCAAAUCAAGUUUUAGCCUUUUUCAAGAAUAUCCAAAGUAGGAUUCAUCUUCUCAAAACUGGCUAUGCAAAGUAUAAACUUACCUUAAGUUUGCCAAGUAAUAUGUACCUAUAAAUCACUAAGUAGUUAGAUUUGCUUUUUUCAAUCUAACCCAUUAACUUAAAUUUAUUGAACUGAAAUAUCAUAAAAAGUUUAAAAAGCCAACAAAAUAAAAUUUAAACCUAACCAUAAAACGCUGGGUGUGUGUAUUAGGAUGUGUUAGUAUUGCCUCAGCAUCUGAAGGAGAUAUCCUGGUCAAUCUAUUAGGAAACACAUUCAACCAGCACGCCUCUUGACAUUCAGAGGCUAUGCGGUGACCCCAGCUGUGUUUUUAAUAAGGAGUGCAACUGACAAAACUGUAAGCAGCCUUAUUCUAACAGCUAAAUAUAGGCCUAACCCUUCAUGAUCUUAUGUUAAUACUUGGUAUUUACAAUGUAUUUCUUCUGAAUUGAUGUAGCAAACCAACAAAAUGGGUCACCCACCACAUUCCAUCCUUUCCUAAGUCAUUUUCCAACUGCAUUUGUGGUUUUGAGUAAAGCUCCAACCUAAAAGCCUUAAAAUAUCUUCUUGAGUAAUGGUCACAUUCUUUUCCCUUAAAGACUGGGUGAGUGCAACUAGUUUAAAAUAGGUUCAUAUUCCCCAAUAAAUAAGCAUCGGUCCAGAGUAUCAAUCUGACCAGACUUGAAAGAGAGCCACAGAAAACCAAGAAUAUUAAUAGAUGAAAACCAAGAAUAUUAAUAAAAGAUGACGACACUCUUCCCAAGCCCUGGAGCUCAUGUCUAUGCCUCAGGACACAGCUAUUCUCUGCCAGAUGAUUUAGAAAAAUACAAAAUAAAAUUUUUGCAGACUGACCUUUCUCCGGGAUUGAAUCAGUCUGCAGCAAUCUAUAAAUAUUUUCCUGGUCCUCAAGGCAGUUUACAGCUGUAGCAAAUGUCCACAUUUGCUUAGAGCAAGUGGCAGCUGAUCCUAGAAAACUGGAAACCUACAGGUUUUCGACUGGGGGAAGUCUGCCUCAUGUCAGUCAUGUUCUGCCCAGGUAGUCGGCCCAGGCAGGGGCUGCUCUGGUUCAAGAACGUGCUCAUUAAUUCUAGUAUCCAGUCCAUUAUCAAAUCACAACCUGGCAUUUAUCUUUCAUUUCUCCCUACCCCAUUAAAGCAAGAGACAUCUUACGUUGUUAGUGGAUCAUUUUUCUCACAUGAGACAUGUCUUACAGAGAGAUACAUGUGAUGGCAAAAAAGAGAGAACCAGCUUUUUAGUGCAUACAGCUCAAUGACAGAAUGAAAACUAGCAUUACAUAAGUGAAAAGUAAAAAGCUGGGAAAGCAAUGGGAAGAUGAUUACAGAUGGAGGAGAAGCCAGCCUCUAAAUUUCAUCAUGUGCAGCUCAUAGAUUUGAAAUCUCAUGCAGCUGAAGGUUAAAAAUGGAAGCUGAGGCCGUGAUACCUCGCUCCGGGUAAAGCUGCUAGGAGUAGAGGCGAGUCGGAGAAAUUCAAGAUUCUCAUGACCCCGGCAACAUUCGCAUCUCAUCACCAUGAGAACCAUCCCACUGACGGUCUGGAGAGCAUCCGUCACAUCAGCACAGCCUGCCCUGGCUGGAAAGCAUCUCUGUGAUUUAUAGGCAUCGGCAGACGGACUGUGCCCUUUCAGCUCUGCUGGGCGCAUCAGGAACCUCCAGAGUCAUUUUUGCUGCAAGAAAUUUGUGUCGUCUGUUCAAUUCCACCUUUCUGUGAGCUGAAUUCUCAUUAUCUCACACCCCUAGCAAGGAUCUGCCUGUAAGGUUGGAGUGCCUUUUAAGACUUCCCUCUUCCCUCCAAGGAGCGCCUGCGAAACUUACCACAAAGCGACUCUGUAAUUUCCUAUGAGCAUAAGGGAGCAGUUUGAAGCUUUAUUUCUGUUAAAGAACUUGGAAAAUCACAUCUAUUUUAGAGAUUACCAUCUCUGACCUAUUUCCACAGGGUAGUGGAAGCCUCUCCCUCCUUAAAACAACCCCCCCCCAAAUCCAACAUCUCCCUAAUGCAUAGAGGGUUAAGUUCUAACUCCUUGAAUUGAUGUUUUUGGCCCUCCACAAUCUAGCUCAGGAUUUCAUACCCUCAGCACUACUGACAUUUUGGACCAGAAAAGUAUUUAUGUGGGACUGUCCUGUGAAUUAUACAGUACUGGGGAACACUUUGGCCCCUAGAAACCAGAUACCAGCAGCCCCCCCGCCCCUCUCCAGUCGUGACAACCAAACACAUCUCCAGACAUCACCAAGUAUCAUCCCCUGCUGAAAAUCAAUGACCUAACACAAUCCAUCUUGCCAGGAAUUUUUACCAACAGGCCCCCAUAUACAGCUUCUAAGGCAGCAAAACAAAUCUUCAGUUAUAGUUUAGACUAUUGCUAGAUUUUCUCAUUUUCAUUGAUCUUUUUCAAGAUCCACCCUAAAUUCCAAUCUCAAAAAAAAAUUUCUGGGCGUGUCAGUUUGAAUCAGUUUUUUACUAUUAUCAUUAUAUUUGAUUUGCAGUGUUCUGUCAUCUCUGCUGUACAGCAAAGUGACCCAGCCACACACACAUAUGUACAUUCUUUUGCUCAGGUUAUCCUUGUGUUGCAUCACAAGUGACUAGAUAUAGUUCCCUGUGCUGUACAGCAGGAUCUGAUUACUUAUCCAAGAGAGUGUAUUUUUUUAAAAAAAAAUCUUCAUUUUACCCCUAGUGCCACACUUAGUAAUUAUGAGCUCAUAUAAGUCUCUUAAUCUGGUCUAUUUAUCAUUACUUAUUAAGAAUAAUAAUAUCUAGCCUGUGUACCUGGUUAUUCUAAGAAGCAAAUAAGAAGAGGUAAAUGGAGUUUGACAAUUACAAAACAUAAAACAAAUGCCGAGUACUAUCAAGAAACCACGGGGUGCCUUCGGCUCUUUCUCCUUUCCAGUUUUUAGCUCUUGCACCGUGAUUUACACAGCGACAACCUCAGCAAGUCGUCAUUAAAUGAAAGCAAAGAAGAUUCCCAGAUGAAGAGCAUUUGCAACAACGACCAGGAAAAUGUGGCAUUUAAUAAAUAUGUUUAAACUAUUUUAUUAAUUUACUCUUUAAUCACCACUACUUCAGGAAAAGGUAAUCUAACUUCAGAUUCCAUACUUCCUACAGUCAUCAAUUCCUCACACUUAAAAGAGUUCCAUAUAGGACCAACAACUGUUUUGACGACCCCAUCAUCCCCCUCAAAAAAAAAAAAAAUCUGGUAUUUCACAAAGAGACUUGAGACCACUCCUGAGAAUUUAGGAAACAGCAUUAAGACAUAUUUGAAGGAAGAAAAGGGAAUACAGUCAGGUCUGGGAUUAGGAAGUAAGUGCUGGUUCAACCUCUCCUCCGUCUCCUCUAUUCAGCAAACAGCAAACCUCUCCUCUUUUCUUUAUAAAUGUUUGCCUCCUUCGGCAGUGGCAAGACUGUUUAUAAAAGUCCCCAGAGUCAUAGGUAAGUAUGGCUCCAAGGCUGAACUGUCUGCAAAAUCUGCAUCACUGUCCCAGGAAUAUCGUCAUCACUUGAAGAUUCGAUUUUGGGUUGCAGCCAAGUCAUUCCUACAAAAGUUCCUGAAUGACACUGGUACUCAUCUUGGGCACUGUGCUUAGAGAAAGCUGUAAAGUUCAUGUGCAUGAGUCAAACUGUAAUUCCAAAACAGAAGGGGCAACAAUGUUCAUGACAGCAGCCACAUUUAUUAAGUGCUUAACCUCCGAGGUGAUGCUUAUUUUAAAGCAGUAUUCAGCUGUAUGUUUUUGAUAGUUUGUUAUAAAAAUAGUCCUUUUACCUAAUACCAGAGUUCACAUGGGAAAAACCAAGAGGUUAUAUGUACUAUCUUUGAAACAAAAACGAUAUGCUAUGACAUCAAUCCAAUUGCAUUCUGUACUAUAUAUAUAUAUAGGUUUGUUCCUGAAUAAGGUAUAUUUUAACUUCAGUGUCUAUAACUGUGAUUAUCAAUGCUCUUGAAGGAUUUUUUAGUAAAUACUAAACACAGAGCACAAGAUUUUUUUUUCUCAUUUCAACUAUUAAUAACCUAAAACUCCCAUUGAGUUAUUUCACUCAAAAUAGACAUAACCAACACAGAUUAUUAUAAAUAAGCAAAGCAGAUAUAUUUUUAAAUCUUUACCUACUGUUGAAACACAUCUUCCUAAAAUGAAAUGCACACUCUAAAUAUGAUACCUCCAUUUCCUGCUCACAUUAAGCAAUGAAUCCUCAGGGGUGACCCAUUUACAGAAACAGACCUUAGUUCACUGCAAAUUGCAGUCCAGUAUCCUAUUGGCAAAUGAUGGGGAACCAUUUGAGUUGCUGAUCAAAUCUGUACAUAAAUAUACAGAGAUACUCUUGUGGUUUAUAAGUUCUAUCUAGGAUAAGAGCCCUUUAAAAAAAAUCAAUAUGUUUCCUAAUUGAUCCACUAGAAGUUUCACUUUGAUGGAGAGCAGUAGAGUCAAAAAUAGUAUCAGGUUCUUUUUAUUCAGCACUUACAACAGUGGACCAUGAUUCAGAUGCGGUCAGAAAGCAAUCUACUGAGAUUUAGAGCUGGAUUUUAGAGGCUAUUUAUUUGACUUCUAAAGCAGCAAACUUGACAGCUAAUUGAUAACUUGGAAUUGCAGAUGAGUUGCAAAGUUAGGCCAAUUUCCCUGGAGUUAAAGAGAGAGGUUCUUACAAACCCCAGCUUCAGAAUGGAUCUGAAUAAAUAUAUUUCAAAAAUAGGACACGAAAACCAAGUCUUUCAAGUCUGUGUAGGUCUAAUGGGGAGAAAAGGUUCCUUUUUAGCUUCUGAGAUCGACUUUUAAAACACUCAACUAAUGGUCUAUAGACCUUAGAAGGUGGUAUUUGAUGGCUUCUGUAGUGCUUGGUCAAUGUUAUCACAUUUACCACAGCCAGAAGAAUGCUCUUAUAAUACCUCAACAUCAAAAUCAAGAAAGAUCCGAGAGUCUAAAAGCACUUAACUAGGAAAAGAGCAAGUUACAAUGUUCUUGUGUGUGUGUGUCCUUUUUAUGGCCGUAUCUGCAGCAUAUGGAGGUUCCCUGGCUAGGGGUCCCAUGGAACCAAGCCUCGACUGCGGCCUAUACCACAGCUCAUGGCAACACCGGAUCCUUAACCCAUUGAGCAAGGCCAGGGACCGAACCUGCAUCCUCAUGGAUGCUAGUCGGGUUUGUCAACCACUGAGCCAUGACAGGAACUCCUACAAUGCUCUUCUUAUAUAAAAUUGUAUUAGUUUCAAGGGUCAUAUCAACCAAUUAGAGAAUACUUAUAUUCAAUAUACUGCUGAGGAAACGAUUAAAAAUAAGGAAUAUUCUGUCUGUAAUUCAGUCUGUCUCCUCUAGACAUAAAGAUUAUUGUCUUUUCUAGGAGUUAACUCGUUAAGGACAAACGUUUCUGUUGAAGAAAAGAGUCCAAGUUCAAGGGAAAUAAACCCAAUGCAAAAGGCUCAAAUUAGUCGAAAUAAUGUAGCAGCUGCAUUCCCACAGAGCCUGUCAAAUCUGCAAUAUUCUCAUAGUUCAUGGAACUAAAUAACUGUCGCUUUAAAAAGCUGCUAAUAAAAGCUAACACCACCAUGGCCAUUACCAUGUAGCCAGUUCUUUGCUAACUUAUUUACAUCUAUUCAACUCUCUAAACAAAAGGUAGGUACAAUUACAACCUCAGAGGUCACACAGCUGCUAGGUGGCGGAAGCGGGACUGGCCCAUGCUCUCAGCCACCACUGAUGCUGCCUCGGCUAAGACAAGCAACCACCAAACCAUAAGGAAAGAACGGACUCCCAUCCUUUGUAAAUUAGAAAACCUAAGCAAUCACAAAUGGAAGCUUUAUAUCCAAACAACAG
rnacentral:lncRNA from 1 species